AACAUUCAGUUUGCGACCAGAAUAAGACGUCAUUGUCUUUUCAUCCAGGUUUGGCCCACUAGGUAGUGAUCUAGGCUAGAAAAGGUUCAUUGACAAUAGAAGUAGUAUUUUUACCUGUGGAUAGUCUGACUUCGUCUCCUUGUGUUUUAUGAAGCCAGACAGCCAGGACAGCGUGCUGUUUUGUUAUGUCGACUACCUGUGAUCUGUUCCAACUGCUGUAUGGAAUGUUGACUGAUGCACUCCAGCAAGCAGGCUGCCUGCAUGCAGAGAUCUAUUACUGCUUGCAAGUCACAAAUUCCAAUCCUGUAAUGCUCGUCCUCUUCUUCUGACGAGGAAUCGCAAGGAUCGGACCAAUGCGCAGCGUGAACCACAAGUCCAUCCUAUGCACAAAAAAAUACUUCUAUGGUGUGUGUGCGCAACUGUGUGGUGGUGACCAAGGUAAAAUAAACAUUAUCGGAUAUGCAAAUGUCAUGCACGUUGAAAUGUCGUAAAGUGCUUGCAGACGUUUUCACUUUGUCUGAACGCCGAGUAUAGAAAGUCCAAAAGCCCCCCUCCGAGCAUCCCAUUGGUUCCUUCAUUAACACCUCAAGCACGACAUCUUCAUGCCUGUGUGACACUUUUGAAUGUGGUUCAAAAGGGAAAUAAAAGUAUGAGUUUUCACCCCUGCCUACCAGAGUCCUCAUUGAUAGCUAGUGGGACAGUGUCCUUCGCUCCAGCCCACCCCCACAGUCGUUAACAAAACUGCUUAUCGCCCCCACCUUCCGCCUGCUGUGCACAGAGUCCUCCUUGCUCGCUAGCGGUAGACAGUGUCCUUCCCUCCCACCUGACCUCACUGUUGUUAACAGAACUGCGGAAAAACUCUGCCCAACAGGCUGAGGCAAAGUACAGUAUACCGGUCGCCCACGCAUCCCAGCUAGCUUGCUAGUGUUAUAUAAAUAAUCCAAUAUCAAGCAUUACUAGCAGACCAACGCUCUGGUUAAACCGGAUGCCCUCAGAUAACUCUGGGCGCAGUGCCCUCAGUCAAGUCUAGAGCCUGUGUACAAUAACAUAAUUAUCCUCACACAAAACAGUUCAAGGGAAGGACACACAGCUGCCAUCACGCAAAUAUACUCCCCUGUAAACUACAAAGAGCAUCCUGCAACAAAAACGAGCUUAGAGUGCCAAACUAUCUCACUGACAUUGAACCCUACAUGCACUCCUUCAUAAACAGGAAACACCUGCGCCUAAAGCAGACACUGCUAGUUCUCCCUAUCUUACGUUUCCUGGACACACAAACAUCUCAUGAAGCAAUGCACACUCACACUCCACCCCCCCUACUGGUCGGGUGACGUGAGCAGAGGACUCUGCUAUGCACCAAUGGGGCGCCUGCUCUGGCUAGAGCAGGCCCGCCUCCAACUCUUCAGGACCAGUCAGAAGACCAACACGACGAGACUCCACCUACAUUAUUCUGUGUAUACAUUCUGUUGUAAACUCUGGCGAGGCUGCCUAAUUUAGCUGACUCUUCACAGAGUCAUAUUGCUUAGGUCCGUGCACGAUGUAGGACAAGAUAUCUUUGACUCAAUAAACUGCCUUUUUGA